AUUGAACGCUGGCGGCAUGCCUUACACAUGCAAGUCGAACGGCAGCAUGAUCUAGCUUGCUAGAUUGAUGGCGAGUGGCGAACGGGUGAGUAAUACAUCGGAACGUGCCCUGUAGUGGGGGAUAACUAGUCGAAAGAUUAGCUAAUACCGCAUACGACCUGCGGGUGAAAGUGGGGGACCGCAAGGCCUCAUGCUAUAGUAGCGGCCGAUGUCUGAUUAGCUAGUUGGUGAGGUAAAGGCUCACCAAGGCGACGAUCAGUAGCUGGUCUGAGAGGACGAUCAGCCACACUGGGACUGAGACACGGCCCAGACUCCUACGGGAGGCAGCAGUGGGGAAUUUUGGACAAUGGGCGAAAGCCUGAUCCAGCAAUGCCGCGUGUGUGAAGAAGGCCUUCGGGUUGUAAAGCACUUUUGUCCGGAAAGAAAUGGCUCUGGUUAAUACCUGGGGUCGAUGACGGUACCGGAAGAAUAAGGACCGGCUAACUACGUG
rnacentral:rRNA from 1 species